GAGACUGCAGUGGUACACAGCCCCAGGAUGCUGAUUCAGUGGACGUGAACUGAAGUGUUGAAGUGACCUGCAAGUGAAGAAUGGGAGGACUCUCUACUUCCUAAAGAAGUGCUUCCUGAAAGAAAGCACUAAAAAUAUUAGAAAGUGUGUGAAUCAACCUUCUGGACCCAAAGAUGGUCUGGACAUGGAAAAAGAUGAAGUUGUGUUACUAAGAUACCUUCGAACAUUUCAAGAAGUGGUGCUGAGAGCUGCAAUGCCAGUUCAAUCAAAGCUCUGAUAUUUGCUGCUAUCUCCAUGCAUGUUUGCAGCAGCUGACAUAUGAAAAGCCAGGGAAUAAUUUGAGUUUGCAAGCUAUGAAAUAAGUCCAUUUUGGAUCUGAAUCUGGCUGUCAAAUCACUUUGAUGGGUUAAUCUGACACAAAAUGAAAGCAUACAAAUGAAAGAAACUUUUGGCAAGCCUGAAAAAAAUGGAUGCACAUCUGCAAGGCAAGUGAUUAGCUUAGUAGUGUCCUUUCAAAAAUCAUCCAGGAACCCCUUCCCCCACCUAUACAGAAACCAGUCCUUUUUGUUCUUCAAAUGUUUAUUUAUAGGAUUAUAAUGGGGAAAUGGAGGAGAGAGGGCUUGUGACUUUGAUGAUAGUGAAAGUCUGUACCCCCCAAACGUGGUAAAGGAGAUAAGCAUUAUAGGAUUAAAUAGGCAUGACAAAUUUGUGUUUCAAUUGGGGACACCAUUUCAGGCAGAGAUUUUUCUUUGGCUGUCAAAGUAGAAGAUUUAACUAAUACAUUCUGCAAAGGAAAAAAAUCAACAAAGGUGGGAGGUUUUUCACUGAAAACUGAUUAAUUGCCCUUGGAAAACAAAGGAAGGAAUCGUGCUAGGGGGUGGUGCUACUCCUCUCUGAAUGUCUUGUGGUGUCAUGUCUUACACUGUUAUUUACUUUUACACAGACCAAAGUGUGCAGAACACUGUAUAUCAAGGAGAUGAACAUGUAUUUGGGGGUUUGGACACAACAUCUGCACAAAAUUGCUUGCUAGCAGUAAAAUGUAUUUUCUGCUCAAUAUCUUGCUUACUCUUUGAAAAGAGCAGAGAAGGCAGAAGAGGAGGAGAAAUGGCAGGUGGAAAUGUAUCAUAGAUUAUAAAGUCUCUCUGGAACAUUGUGCCCAUGCCACACUUACUGCAACAAGAAGUUGUUGAGCUGGAACAGAACUUGUGAACAAACAUACCUGUGUUUGAUAAGGUGAAUUAUUUCACAAAAACAAAAAAAAAAGACGCACAAUAAAUACCCUGUAUUCUAUGUCCUCCAUUUCCAAUGACUGCUAAGAGAGAAAGAAGGCACACAUUAUGGGUUGUAGCAGUUCUAAAUUAAUUCAAUGAACAGUAUACACUGAGUGGGGACUUAUCUUGCCCACCUUACUGCUGACUUGAACCUGACUAAUUGCCCUUCACUAUCACAGGCAGAGAGAGCAGAAAGAAGCAAAACAGCACAGAAGAUGCUCUGUACACCCUGAGGAUGCUUGUCCAGCUUGCAUGGAAAUGCAGGCAGAAGACUUCUGGAGGUUACUGUCCCAAGCUCUGGUUUUACAGCAGAAAUAAACUUUUUUGCCCCUUACACAAUUAUCCUGUAAGCCACAAAAAAAAAAAAAAAAAAAA